GGUACAUAAUCACUAAAACAUGAUGCUAAUUUCUGAUUACUCCGUCAAUGGUGUUUGUCAUUAUAUGUUAGCGUUAAGCUAGUGAACUGCUAGUUAUCUACGGUUAGCGGUAUAGGUAAAAAACAAAACAAAAAAAAAACAUUUGUCUUUUGUUUUUGUGUCAGUUUUACAAUAAACAUCAAAAAGGAGUGACAAAUCGUGCUCUGCCUUUUAUUACAGCGCAAGGAGUUGAUUCUAAAACAACACUACUACUCGUCCACUUGAAACCUUGUCGAACCCGAUACAAGGUGACACCUGAAAAGGGGCGGUGAUGACGUUACUCGAUUUAUCAACCGUUCAAAGGGCCAAAGCACUGUCAUGCUGAGCCGAGUGUGAUGCAAGUGAGGCGCUAAGGAUGCUGACCUGGUGAUAGAAGUGCAUGUCGGACGGCGCUCGGCAGACUCCCGAAGGCCUCGAUGCGAGCGGCUCGGGUCCAUCCAGCGGGAACGUCUUUCGGGUGCGACGUCCGGUGCUUCCGUUCAUUAACGGGAGAAUGGAAGCCGCCCGUGUUGCUGCUGCUGUUUGUUCUUCUCAUUUCAUUUUUUCCCCCUCUUGCUGCUUUCCAUCACAUGAUUUGAGCCCCUCCCAUGUCCAGCUUUCAGAGUCACUUUCAUCUGUGGCAGGAUCCGCUGCACAUCACUUCAAGUGGCUUCUAUCCUCCUCUCCUUUCCUGGAAAAAAAAAUCAAGCAGCACACACACACACACACACACACACACACACACACACACACACACACACACACACACGGACACGCCGCAUGCCACCCAGCCAGUGGUUGUCAGCCCUUCCUGUGUGUAUGUGCGUUGUAGAUAGCAUGGCGUGCUCUGUGCUGUCAGAAACAGGAAGUGGGAAGCUUGCUCGCUUGGCCCUGAUGAGCCAUCUCCUGUGUGUAUGCACAUGAGAGACACAGGACACAAUUACCACAGCUCAAAAGCUAUGGCAGGCCAUUGGAGCAUUAUUUCGAUCAUCUACUAGUGCAACGAAUUGUCUAUCUACGAGUAGGCUCUAAAUAUUCAUUCGUAAGUAGAUAGAACAGUUCUGAAUAGCAGAAAGACGAGGGCGCACAGGUAGAACAACUACAUGUGACUAGCGAGGCAAAACGGCAAACUAGUUGAAAACUGCAUGUCACCAAUUCUGACAGUGACAUAAAAAUUGUGAAAAUCUAGCAUCUCUCGGGUAGUGGUAGUAUACAGAUAUUCGUGCAUAGUUUUGCAAAGGAGUAUGGCAACGCUUUCUGACUAAUGCGCAGAGAUUUUACACAGGAGUGGAAGGCAAAGGUGCAAAAAAAAAAGCUUUACUAGUCAGACACUAUUUCUCGAGUGCCCUGGUUGUUCUACUAGCAUGUUGAAUUGUCUUACUAGUGAGGACAAAAAGGAUACUAGUGUGUGGACCUUUAGCUGGAUAUCACUCAUAUAACGUUGCUGUACUAGUACGCUCUUUAUCCACUCUAGUGGACAAUUUUGGCACAGUAGUGGGACAACUACAGAGUACAAAUGAGGCACUGAAGUGUGCACUAUUUGGCAAGUGAGCGCAUAUUACAGUGCACUAAAACGACCCAAGUGCAAGGAAAUGCAGAUUUGAUUUUUGUCAAAGGUGAUAUGUGGCAUGACUCCUCUGUGAUUUUUUUAUUUUAUUUUUUUGUUUCUGGCAUUUCAAAAAUAUUUAGAAGAGUGGUCCGGCAUCGCUUUCCAUACCGAUUGCCACAAAAAAAUCGGCCAUUGCAGUUUUGUUCCGAUUUGAUGAAUCACAUUGCAGAUGUUAAAUUCCAUUUUCGUAUAUUCCUCCCACAAUGCAGAAAAUGAACUGCGCUGGAUUUUAGCGCGUUUGGCAAACACAAUAAUCUGUUCCGUGAGCGGUCAAGAUUGCGCCCGUUUUUUGCACAUUGCAAACCUCAAGCAAUCAAACAAAGACUAAGAGUUUCUACGCAAGAAAAAUAAUUUAUUUAUGAUAGAAUCACUUCAUGGCACUGGCAUGUCGGAAUGUGGCGCUUUUCCGGACAGCUACACACCAAACCACUGGAUGGGCCACGAGGGGAUUUAAUACAUAUAUGGAAUAUUCCUUUAAAUGUCUUUUUUUUUCCAUAAGGAAUAACAAAAAUAGAACUCCAAUAAGUGGUCUGACUCUA